rnacentral:rRNA from 1 species
UACGGGGGGGGCAAGCGUUGUUCGGAAUUACUGGGCGUAAAGGGCUCGUAGGCGGCCAACUAAGUCAGACGUGAAAUCCCUCGGCUCAACCGGGGAACUGCGUCUGAUACUGGAUGGCUUGAGUCCGGGAGAGGGAUGCGGAAUUCCGGGUGUAGCGGUGAAAUGCGUAGAUAUCUGGAGGAACACCGGUGGCGAAGGCGGCAUCCUGGACCGGCACUGACGCUGAGGAGCGAAAGCCAGGGGAGCAAACGGG